rnacentral:rRNA from 1 species
GGAAUCUUGCACAAUGGACGAAAGUCUGAUGCAGCGACGCCGCGUGGGGGAUGAAGGCCCUAGGGUCGUAAACCCCUUUCAGUGGGGACGAAAAUGACGGUACCCACAGAAGAAGGUCCGGCCAACUACGUGCCAGCAGCCGCAGUAAGACGUAGGGACCGAGCGAUGUCCGGAAUUAUUGGGCGUAAAGAGCUCGUAGGCGGUUGCGUAAGUCGGAUGUGAAAACUCAGGGCUCAACCCUGAGACGCCAUCCGAUAGAGCGGUGAGUCGAAUCCAGUAGGGGAGUGUGGAAUUCCUGGUGUAGCGGUGAAAUGCGCAGAUAUCAGGAGGAACACCUAUGGCGAAGGCAGCACUCUGGGCUGGUAUUGACGCUGAGGAGCGAAAGCAUGGGUAGCAAACAGGAUUAGAUACCCCCGUAGUCC